AUUUAUAGCACGAGCCCAAUAAAUCAUGCGUGCUGCACGUCGAUACGCCGAUGUGGACGUGAUAUUAUCAUCAUCUCUAGACUUUGCAGCUCCUAUGUGGCUCGAGCUGACUUAUCGUGACGUCACCCACUGUAUCUGACUGUAUGCAGCCCUUCAUGGAGCGCGUGGCUGCGAGCACAUGGAAAGGAGGUCGAGAUUUGUGCUUGAAAGACACGCACCUAUUCAUCCGAAAUGGAAUAUAAAUAAUAAUGCGCAAAAUAGAAAUAGAAUCAGAGAACGGGAAGACUGUUGAGACUGCUCUGCUCUACUCAGCUGUCAAUCAACGAGGAUCAGCAGAUUUAUAAUGAAAAUCAAGACACCUGGAUGGAAGUUAUGAAAAGGUACCGCUCGUCAGGGACACACGUGCCAUCGUUCUGACACUGACUGGGGUCAGGGCAACGCAAACAGAGAACACAGCACCAAACCACACAGGGUUAAAGACCAGCAAAUAUUUAUCCAAGACCUUUUCACUGAUGGCAACUGUUUUAUGGCCAAUGAGACAAGGGAGCAGUGAAGGAUGCGUGGCACCUUGAUUGUAACACUACAUUCAUCUAAAUAUUGACUGGCCUUCAUGAAGAUAACCAGUCAAGAAGAAACUUCAAACUGUGACCAGUGCCUGCCACCUGGUUCAGGUUAUCUAUCAGUCAACCUACCAGGGUAUUCACAAACAGCACAGGAACAGCACAGUAUUGAUGACACCUUCACUAAGGCAGUACCCAAAUCCAUCUGAUUUAGUGAUCAUAAAAUAGUAGCCAUAUCAAGGAAAAGUUCC
ensembl:lncRNA